GUUCCUCAACUGCGUUGCCCCUCCAGUCAGCAGAUGGCGAUGUGCGUCUUUUACGUUCAGGCGACGCUGCCAGUGUGACGUAUAAUCUAGUGGACGGGACGCUCCUUCAACAACAACAGUUAGACACCUCGGUAGCUUUCUAGCAAACAUAGCUACAACAUUCACUCUCUUUUGGUGUAUGUUAGUCCUUGUGUAUUAAACACACUUCUGACGUAUGUACGUGUUGGCCCAUUUAAUUAUAUAUUUACGUGGUUUGUCAGCUAGCUGGUUUGCUAAAUUAGCUUAGAACUAGGCUAGUCGCUAAUGCUAGCUAGCGAACAUCUCCAACCAUGAGUUCACUAAGCUGCUCUCCUCCUGCUAAAGUAGAGGAGGUCUUCUGGACGUAGAAAGAAGUUCCCCUGAAAGAGGAGGAGGAAGAGAAGGAUGUUACAAUACAAAAACAAGUAGACGGUGAGGCUGUUACCGUGAAAGAAGAAGAGAAAGACGUUUCAGUGAAAGAAAAGGAAGACUCGUUCAGAGUGAAAGAGGAGGAGGAUGUUACAGUAAAAGAAGAGGAAGCGGAGAGAGAGGAGGAUGCAGUUUAUGGAGUGAAAGAGGAGGAGGGGAGAUGACUGUCACAUCGAAAAAGGAGGAGGAGGGCGAAGAGGAGGAAACUGGAUAUCUGGGCCCGGUUUCCCCAACGCAUCUUAACGCAUCCUAUGGUUCUGAUGGUGAACUCAGCCAUAAGAUGGUUUUGAGAAACCGGGCCGUGAUUAACACUAGAGAGAGAUGUGACUAUCGUGGAUCCUCUGGGGAGCCUCAACAACAUAAUGAAGCUGACGAGGCAGAGAAGAGUCCCUCCGGAUCAGAACACCUCAAGAAACACCAGUGGAGACCAACAGGGAAGACAUCUCACUGCUGCUCUGACUGUGGGAAGAGUUACUUAAGAUCAAAUUCACUAAAAGUACACAUGAGAAUUCACACAGGAGAGAAAUCUUAUAGCUGUGAUCAAUGUGGGAAGAGUUUUACUUCAUCUAGCCAUCGGAUUGUACACCAGAGAACACACACAGGAGACAAAUCUUAUAGCUGUGAUCAAUGUGGGAAGAGUUUUACUCAGUCAAGCAGCCUGUUAUCUCACCAGAGAACACACACAGGAGAGAAAUCUUUUAGCUGUGAUCAAUGUGACAAGAGAUACUCUGAUAAAAGAUCUCUGAUCAAACAUCAGAAAAUACAUUAAUGAUGGAGUUGUUUCAUGAUAUCAAUGAAUUAAUGUCACAAUGUAGAAUGUUUAAACAUUGUAGAAGGAGUAUUUUAAUGAUGUCACAAUGUAGAAUGUUUAAACAUUGUAGAAGGAGUAUUUUAAUGAUGUCACAAUGUAGAAUGUUUUAACAUUGUAGAAGGAGUAUUUUAAUGAUGUCACAAUGUAGAAUGUUUAAACAUUGUAGUAGGAGUAUUUUAAUGAUGUCACAAUGUAGAAUGUUUUAACAUUGUAGUAGGAGUAUUUUAAUGAUGUCACAAUGUAGAAUGUUUUAACAUUGUAGUAGGAGUAUUUUAAUGAUGUCACAAUGUAGAAUGUUUAAACAUUGUUGUAGGAGUAAUUUAAUAAUGUCACAAUGUAGAACACUAAACGUUUGCCCCCUGUUCAAUUGAUUUCUGCAUAAUAUGGAUAUUAGCCUCAGGGGGGAAAUCCAGGCUCUGAAUGUAAAGAGUGAUAUUUAUAUGAUAUAACAGAAAGUGACUAACACAAAAAGAGCUGUGUUACACUUACAGCAUUGGUGACCCACUUGAAUCAAAAUGUAGCUAGAUGUUUUCUACAAGUUGUCCUCUAACCAGUGAUGUACAUUAUUCCCAGAUUCCAUGUGGUUUUUGAGCUGUUAGUUUUUAACAGGACAACAACAUCUCCAGACUCUCACGCAAAUGAUUUCAACAUGAUAUCGAUGAGGGAUGAAAAAUAAGUGUUGCGUUCCUUUGUUUAACGACCUCUAAAUGUAAAUGCAUCUCUCCAAAAUGUAGCUGACUGUCUUCUGCAGGUUGUCCUCUAACCAGGGAGGUAAAAUAUAUCUCCCAUUU